UACGUAGGGGGCAAGCGUUGUCCGGAUUUAUUGGGCGUAAAGAGCGUGUAGGCGGCCAGACAGGUCAGCUGUGAAAACUCGAGGCUCAACCUCGAGACGUCGGUUGAAACCGUCUGGCUAGAGUCCGGAAGAGGAGAGUGGAAUUCCCGGUGUAGCGGUGAAAUGCGCAGAUAUCGGGAAGAACACCCGUGGCGAAGGCGGUUCUCUGGGCCUUACCUGACGCUGAGGAGCGAAAGCGUGGGGAGCGAACAGG
rnacentral:rRNA from 1 species